rnacentral:rRNA from 1 species
UUAGGAAUUUUGCGCAAUGGGGGAAACCCUGACGCAGCAACGCCGCGUGAAGGAUGAAGGCCUUUGGGUUGUAAACUUCUUUUAGCAGGAAAGAAAAAAAUGACGGUACCUGCAGAAAAAGCACCGGCUAACUCUGUGCCAGCAGCCGCGGUAAUACAGAGGGUGCAAGCGUUAUUCGGAAUUACUGGGCGUAAAGAGCGCGUAGGCGGUUUGAUAAGUCUGUUGUGAAAGCCCUGGACCCAAUCCAGGAAGUGCAGCGGAUACUGUCUGACUAGAGUAUAGGAGAGGAGAGUGGAAUUUCUGGUGUAGAGGUGAAAUUCGUAGAUAUCAGAAGGAACAACAGUGGCGAAGGCGACUCUCUGGACUAUUACUGACGCUGAGGCGCGAAAGCGUGGGGAGCAAACAGG